GCGAGAUGGAGAUAGCUGUUCCCAGACGCGUUUGUGGUCAGAACAGCGGCAGCAAACGCGCUCUGUGGAACGCAGCACCAACAGAAAAGAGGCGGGGAUAACGUUCGGGGCUGGCAGGGCAGCACUGAGCAGGUGGACUCGAGGGUGUCACAUUACAGGCUGAGGAACAGAGAGAGCGGUGGAGUGCUGUAGGGCGAGAGAGCCCACAGUGAAAUUAUGGGGUACAGAUUGGGAUAUACGGUAGAGGAGAGGUACACUAGUCCUCACCUCUCCCCCAGCCCUUACCUUAAACGCCACCCGAGCAACUGAGGGGCAGACGGGCAUCUUGAACAGCCAAGCAGGGGCUCGAGGGUGAGAAGCUGAGAGCAGAGGAACAAAUAACAGAUGCAGCCAGCUGGAAUCUGUGGCAGAGGGCCCAUCCCGGCUGAGGGGGUUCCCCUGAGAAGGAACUAAAGCCAGAUAUUAGCAGUCAAGGCAGUCCACUCGUGUUACACGGAGGCCACAUCAGCAAGUGGGCAACAGACCCAGUUUGUCACUUCCAUGGGAAGUGAUGUUGUGAAAUAAAUUUUUGUUGUACUAACUGGGUAUUUUUUUAAUGUAUUCUUGUUAUGUUAGGUCUUAGUUGGAUUAAUUGUUUUAAAAUGUAGAUUUGAUAUUUUGAGGUAAGUUCUUUGUGGUUUUGUGCUUUUUGGUUUUUUUUGUAACUAAAUAUUACACAAGUUUAAGAAUGGGCAAGGAGACCAGCUCCUUUUUAACGCCUUUAUUAAAGUGACCAGCUCCGGGUAGGUGCUCUGGGGAUAGCGCACACCGCCACUGCUCCCUUCGGCGAGGCAGAGGAGGAGGUGUUCAGUUUUGCUGUACAGCAGAACUGGAGCUUCCAUCCUCGCGGGCGUGCCUGGGAAGACGCUUUUGGGCUUGUCGGCUAGGGUUUUUGCUCUCAGUUGGUACCACUUAGGAUAGGACGAUGCUCCGGGGUUGAUUCUGCAGCACUGGUAAGGUAGGAGGACUUCUUCCCGAUGGCUAAAGUCCAUUUGUUGUUCAGGUCUUAAGUUGGCUUGUUUCCUUUAGGGUUUUUUCUGAGUUUCUGGUCACAGUCCUUAAUUUGCAUAUUCUUGGGGGUACUCCAGUCGCCAUUUUGGGGAGCAGCGGAGGUGUUACCCGGUGGUCGCAACAUGGAUGACAAAUACAGUAAAGGGGCACAACAUAGGGAGAGAUAAGGGAAACAUCAACGGGGAUUUAACAGGUAAUAACAGUCUUAAUUAACACUUUUAACUUUAAAUUCUUUUAACUUGUUUAUAACACUUAACUAAUGAACUUGUUCAUAACACAAGUAUUAAUUCAAAAUGAUUUUAGUAAUUUUAAUUUUUGUGGUUUAACUGUUAUUUGGGGUAAGAGUGUAUAAAUGUUAAUUGAAGAUUAUGUUAUGUGCAGGAUUUUUUUAUUUCAGGUUAAAGUCUGUGAGGGAUAAGGUUAGCUGUGAAGAGGUAUACUAACAAGGCAUGUAGAAAAUACAUUUUUUUAGGAUUGGUGACCAAUAAACACGGUGUGUUUGGAUGGAUGGUUUUAGUUAGUGUUACUUAUAUGUUUUGUUUUGGUUGUGGAACUAUUUCUCUUGGGGUUUUUUUUUUGAGUAUUUUCAAUAAGGUUUGACCCAGUGAGUAGGACUGUCGUGUAGUUUAUUUUUUGUGGAAACAUAAGUAUACCUUUAGGUUAUGAAAUCGACGGGACUACUUUACUGACUACUUACCAAGUCUUUUUUAGGAGUAGGUUUUUGUAAGUCGGAUUUUGAAAUCAAAGAAGAAAAAUGACAAGACGAAGGAGGUAGAGAAGUUAUCUCCUUAUAGGAUAAAAAGGGUUUAACAUAGCAACUGCUUUGUCUAAUGUUUGCGUGGGGUGUUUCCGUGCGACGGCCGGGCCGCUCGCGGGGCUCGGCAGCAGGAGAGCCCCGUGCCACGCGCGCUGAAGGUGAGGCGGCGCCGCCCGCGGGGAGCCGAGCCGAGCUGAGUCGAGCCGAGCUGCGCCUAACGCAGCGAGCGGAUCCGAGUUCAGCCGAGCCGAACCGAGCCGAGCUGUGCUGAACGCAGCGAGCGGCUCCGAGUUCACCUGAGCCGAGCUGUGCCGAAGAGGCGAAUCCAGCCGAUAAUAGCCGAAAAUAGCCGAGUCUCACCGUGCCGAGCCAAACGCAGCAUCCCGGGCAGGGCGGGGCGCCGGGGCGGGCUCGGGGUGGAGCCGAGAGGCUCCCUCUCCUGUCGCUUUCUUUACCCCUCUUUCCUUCUCCACGUAUUCCUCUUCUUUUUCUCUUUUCCCCCAUUUCCCGCUCUCCCCCAAGCAACCCCUUUACCAUCCUUUCCCGCUAUCCUUCCUUCCUCCUCCCCUCCCUUCUGUUCUUUGUCCCCCAGACCCUCCCCUCCUCUCCCUCC